GCUACCUUAGCUCAAUCGGCAGAGCAAUCGCUUCGUAAGCGAUAGGUUUCGGGUUCAACUCCCGAAGGUAGCU
rnacentral:tRNA from 1 species